rnacentral:rRNA from 1 species
AGGGUCUAGGUAUAAGGCAAUUAUACCGUGAAACUGCGAAUGGCUCAUUAAAUCAGUUAUCGUUUAUUUGAUAAUACCUUACUACUUGGAUAACCGUGGUAAUUCUAGAGCUAAUACAUGCUGAAAAUCCCGACUUCGGAAGGGAUGUGUUUAUUAGAUAAAAAACCAAUGCCCUUCGGGGCUUUUUGGUGAUUCAUGAUAACUUUACGGAUCGCAUAGCCUUGCGCUGGCGACGGUUCAUUCAAAUUUCUGCCCUAUCAACUUUCGAUGGUAAGGUAUUGGCUUACCAUGGUUUCAACGGGUAACGGGGAAUUAGGGUUCGAUUCCGGAGAGGGAGCCUGAGAAACGGCUACCACAUCCAAGGAAGGCAGCAGGCGCGCAAAUUACCCAAUCCCGACACGGGGAGGUAGUGACAAUAAAUACUGAUACAGGGCUCUUUUGGGUCUUGUAAUUGGAAUGAGUACAAUUUAAACCUCUUAACGAGGAACAAUUGGAGGGCAAGUCUGGUGCCAGCAGCCGCGGUAAUUCCAGCUCCAAUAGCGUAUAUUAAAGUUGUUGCAGUUAAAAAGCUCGUAGUUGAAACUUGGGCCUGGCUGGCGGGUCCGCCUCACCGCGUGCACUCGUCCGGCCGGGCCUUCCUUCUGAAGAACCUCAUGCCCUUCACUGGGCGUGCUGGGGAAUCAGGACUUUUACUUUGAAAAAAUUAGAGUGUUCAAAGCAGGCCUUUGCUCGAAUACGUUAGCAUGGAAUAAUAAAAUAGGGCGUGCGUUUCUAUUUUGUUGGUUUCUAGAGACGCCGCAAUGAUUAACAGGAACAGUCGGGGGCAUCAGUAUUCAGUUGUCAGAGGUGAAAUUCUUGGAUUUACUGAAGACUAACUACUGCGAAAGCAUUUGCCAAGGAUGUUUUCAUUAAUCAGUGAACGAAAGUUAGGGGAUCGAAGACGAUCAGAUACCGUCGUAGUCUUAACCGUAAACUAUGCCGACUAGGGAUCGGGCGAUGUUCUUUUUCUGACUCGCUCGGCACCUUACGAGAAAUCAAAGUUUUUGGGUCCUGGGGGGAUUAUG